rnacentral:rRNA from 1 species
UAGCAUUUAAUUAUUGUCUGCUUUGUUCUGUUGCAGGUAAGGAGAGGUGCUGACAGAGCAGAGAUAUAUAGCUUGGCUUUCUCAAAUAAUUUACAGUAUUUGGCUGUAUCUAGUGAUAAAGGAACAAUUCAUGUGUUCAAUUUAAAGAUAAAUGUUGGUUUGACCACAAAUGAUAAGCCUCUGCCAGCUCCAGACGCUGAUGUUCCCCACAUGAGUCCAUCAUUCUCCUUUAUUAAAGGUGUGCUACCUAAAUAUUUCCACUCGGAGUGGUCUGUUGCUCAAUUCAGGCUCCAUGAGGGUGAGCAAUACAUCGUCGCAUUUGGCCAUGAGAAGAAUACCGUGGCAGUUGUUGGCAUGGACGGAAGCUUCUACCGGUGCCAGUUUGACCCAGUCAAUGGAGGAGAAAUGCAGCAGCUGGAAUGCCACAAUUUCCUAAAACCAUCAGAUCAACCGUAGCAAGAUAAUAAAGCAGCAACUAUUUGUCUGCAUUGUGUGCCAUGGCU